CGUGGCUGCCGCCGGCGGGUCGAACCGCCCGCCCCAAAAGCAGAACCUGCCAAGAAAGAGUCUCAAGAAAGAACCGCCAUGAGCUUCCUAUGACCGUUCGCGAAAGCCAGCACCGGCGGCGUGUGCCCAAUGAGGUCGGACAGAAAAGCCUGACAAGAGCGGCAGCGGAGCCAGUGUGUGCCUGGUGGCCGGCAAGAACCAGGACAACAAAAUCAGGAACGACCGUGCCGGAGACCAGUAAAGCGCCCAGGACCCCAGCAAAUGCAUCCUGUCCUUGCACAAGUUCUGCAAGGCAUGCAUACUGCACUUCAAGGACUGCCUGCUGUGCGCUGGCGUAGAGCGGAUCGAGCCAGAUGCCAAGCCCCAGGCCCUUAUCGACCACAUGAUCAUCAAUGGCCAUGCCCGGAUCAAGAGAUUGCUUGCUGGAGAUGAUAAUGAAGCAACGCAGGGGAAAAGCAAGGUGAUAUAUGGGGAUGCCUCCAUGGAGAGAGGCGCUUUUCUAGUGCAGCAGGCCAUGAGGGUCAAUAAGCAAAUUAAUCAGCUCCAAUUGUUAGCUCUUUCUUUGACCUGUGAAAUUUGCAUUGUUCAUGGUUAUCAAGUAUGGCUUUCCUCGCACAGUAGUACAUUCAAAGUGCAAAGUUGAGGCUCGGCAUCUGUGCAGAAGACAUCAGGGAGGAGUUGAAAUCGUCAGAAGAUAACCUUGACCUAUGUUCUCAGCUUGGGGCUCUGUUGGGAAUGCUUGGGGAUUGCUGGUAUGAACCUUGUUUCUUGGAUACUUCCGGUUCCAAACGUUUCACUUUGACAAACUAAGAAAUAGACCAUUGUGAGCAAACUGGAGUUAGAUAAUGUUGGUCUGCGCCAAUAGAAUUUUUUUCUGUACUAAAUGGCUGCUGGUUGUAGUAUGGCUUAGAUCUCGUAAAAAAAUAAAGAAAACAAAUAUUCAGUGCUUUGUGCCUGCUCUGCAUAACCCAUUAUAGUCUAUGUCAGCAAAUCAACAAGAAUUCUCUGUGGAGAUCCUUUAAUAGUUUAGCUCUGUAUUGAGUCUGGUUUCUUGCUUAUGCCUAAAGUUAUUUAUUGAUAUGAGUUUCACUUGUUUGCUUAAGAUGCUACUCUUACACAAUGAACCCGUGUUAACAUUUAAAAUGCGGUUUUCGUAAUAGUAUGGUUAAGCUAGUAGACAUGAUCUAAUUAACUGGAUCUGUUACAUUAAACAGAUGCUCUCACCCUUUGGCUUUGUGGUCAUCCGAGGUCCUUGGAUUUCACGCUCAAAUGCUCAAUCUAGUUUUAGCAGAAGUCCUUGUGAAUAGAAGUUUUGGAAAACCGUUUUUGUAGUGUAGUUUUCCGUACCUGGUGUUCUUUGACAAUCUGAUAACUGUUGUUUAUAGGUCACUGAUUUAGCAACUUCUCACCCUGAAAACAGUCCUCAUUUUCUUAUCCAUUAUGCUAAUACCUGCAUGUUCUGAGUUUUCAUGUAGCCUCUUCCAUGGAGAAAUAACAGGGAAAUUGUAUGGGAAAUCUCAUCAUGCCUAAGUUCAUUCUUCAUUCAUUGUUGUAUUAGCCGCUUUGUUUCAAAUGAGUUACAGAUCUGCUCCAUAAACCCGUGAUUAGUUACCAGGCAGCUGCAGUCGCACACCCAGGCGCAGAACAUGGGAGGCCUGGCCCAGGCUAAUCACGCUGCCCUAGGUGGGCCCGUGUUCUUUCGCUAGCACAUGCUAAUCACAAUAUUGGACCGGCCAGGCCAGGCAAGCACUUCCUCUUCCAGGACACAAAACAAACAACUACCAGGCAGUUUCCAGCGAAUGUCCAGGCCAGGCGUGAAACCUCCUGAACACAAACCAAACACGCUCUGAAUAUCGCUCCCUGCAAAUAAAAUGUUCAAACGCUCAAGACCAUUAAAUCGGUCGGACCUUCGUAAAACAGCGGUCAGACCGUGGUUUUCCCAGUUCGCUGGCGCAGAUGACCCAGUGCGCUUAAAGGACCGACUGAGGCUCCUGUUCCGGUUUUUUCUGGUUGAACCGGCAGUUCGGUCCAGUUUAUAAAACCAUGCUUACUCUGGAAUAACACAACACAUAUUGGCAAUUUUUUUUUGUAAUGCUUAUGGUAUAUGUGGACUAAUUGAUGCACAUAGCUGAUAAUUCGCCAGUUACCAUGGUAAUUGCAACUUGAUUGCAUGUUAUAUUUGCAUAGGUAAAGUGAAAAACAUUAACCAUGCACCAUGCCCUAUACCAGGCAGCAUGCUGGUGCUAAUCAUAGGCUGAUAGCCUGCCCAGGCACCUGGUAGGAUCUUAGUUCUGUGCAGGAUGUCUGGUACCUGCUGAUGUAAGAAACACAUGGUCUGUAAUAUGUCUAUGAUAAUAACAUUGUGCUUCCAUCUCAGCAGUGAAAUGUGGUAUAAUUGCUGCAUCAGCUUUAGCUAAUCAAUGUUUCAUCGUAUUUCUUUUGGUAUAUUCAUUACACUUUAUCCUUAUUGCAUAUUGUGGAUGAAUUCAUUCCACACUGGUUUCUCCCUGGUUCUCAUCAUUGGAAUUUGUCUUUUUCCGUCGGAGAUUGCGAGAUGCUCCUUCCAGGAUCACUUACUGUGAAGAAAGUGCCGAGUUUCUCUCGAAAUUGCCGACAAAGGAUCUUGAGUUUCGCUUAAUAAAGAUGGAGACCUUCGCUACUAUGAUGGAGACCUCCAAUCUGUGAGAAGUUCUUAUGCCGUAUAUUAGGCGUUCGCAGGAAUUCAGUAAAGGAGCACUCAGCGGUCACCUCUCAGGUAACAUGAAAUACUCCUCUUGGCCCAUUGGAUACUAUGAGUCAACGAAUGAUUGAACUAUGGGCUUAGCCCACGAAAGAAGACCCAACUAGCAAUAUUUCCAGGCUCAUCCUAUGAUUGCAUAAAUAUGAAAGAAUCUUCUAUGGAAAAUUGACUUCAGGUCUUCUCAUGGACCAUUGUGUCCUCAUCUCAUGGUGUAUUACUUGGAAAUGUUGUGCAGGUGUGGUAAAUAUAGACUAAUCCUUUAGUAUUUAGCAAAGCUACACUGCUUGAUGAAAUUGAUGCCAGCCAUGGAAUUUGCCGUGUACCGGGUGGCAGUCUAAAUCAAUGUGGAACCAGUCAUGGUGGAACCAGUCUUAGUGUGAAAUUGUAGGCAGUGUAAGUCAUGGUGGA